UACAGAGGGUGCGAGCGUUGUCCGGAAUCACUGGGCGUAAAGGGUGCGUAGGCGGCGGAGUAAGUUGGGUGUGAAAUCCCGGGGCUUAACCUCGGAAUGGCGUUCAAUACUGCUUCGCUUGAGUACUGGAGAGGAGGCUGGAAUUUACGGUGUAGCAGUGAAAUGCGUAGAUAUCGUAAGGAAGGCCGGUGGCGAAAGCGAGCCUCUGGACAGUUACUGACGCUGAUGCACGAAGGCCAGGGGAGCAAACGGG
rnacentral:rRNA from 1 species